GUUCGUGUGUUACAGAUUAAGCGAACGGAGACUGUACUGCAGCCGGGGAAGGUAUACUAAACGGCGGUUUGGCUUAAAGACACUGGAGGUGUCUUAACAAUUGGUGGCAAGCGACGGGAUGAAUCCUACAGCACUGGAGGUCAGCUACAAGACAUGCAGUACGAGGAAUUAAGGCGUGCUACACUUAAAGACAUAUUGGAACGCCGAGGAAGAUCAGCAAGCAAUUUAAAGAAACGGGAGAUUAUUGCUUUGCUAAUGGAGAUGGAUGCAGCAACGGGAAUGGAAAGAGUCAACGUGCCCAGU